CUUUGAGUUCCUUUUGAAGAAUGACUCUGUUCUAGAAAUGUUUGCAUCAUGUGUAAAAUCCGUAUUAUAAAUGAAAUUACUGAAUAUUGCCUGGCUACUGUAAUUUAUUUUGUACAUUUGCUUUUUUUUUUUUUUUCCCUUAGAAAAGCACAUGGCUAAAUGUUGGUGGAAAGCUACUAACCCAAGUAUGGCAAGAAUUUUCAUUCUAUUUUCAAAGCGACUAAGCAAAGCAUAACAAGCUUUGCUGGGAUACCUACCCUUGAAGAACGGAUCACCUAAUAGGGGUACAGAACACAGCUGCCGAAGCAGGAAUUUAUCUUGGCACCUGCUGAUGGACGCGUGCACACAAGGAUCCAGAGAUUGAGUGAAGGAAGAUGCCUGGGACCAAGGAAAGCAGAAAUGGCGGGGCAUGCAUUACCUGUGGCAAUGGGGACACGAUGCAGGCCGGCCAUAGGAUAAAUAGUGUUUUCCAACCCUGCUUGACAGCAAGAAUUGCCCAAGGACCUGGUGGAAAACAGAUUCCCAGGCCUCAUCCCCUGCCGUCUCUGGAGAGGCGCGCGAAUCUAGAGUGUAACAAGUCACCAGGUGAUUCCUAUCAGGCCGUUUUUGGAACACAUCCCGGAACCCUCUACUCCAGUCUCUUGGUUUGGCUCUUUUGUCCUCGAUGCACCUGGCCCCAUAUUCUGUAAAGCUUUAGCUUUUGCUUGAAGGUGGACAUGAUUAAAAGGUCAUCUCUCAUUAUAAAUUCUCAA
rnacentral:lncRNA from 1 species